GCUACCCUGUUCCAUCUCUUCCGAGCCCUGCUGAGUCAUGGCUCCUCCCAUCCGCUGCUGCUGCUGCCACCAGACCACAUGCUUCUUUCUCAACUCUGACAGAGAUGAGAAUAUUAUGCAAACUAAGAGCUGGAGACCGCCACCCCCUCCUUCCCACCAAGAAGCAAGAAGCACGGGACUUUGUACAUCUAACUGUGGAAAAGAGUUCGAUACCGAGGAAGAGCCUCUUUCCAAGCUCACGAAGAGAUCGGCACAACUUGGAGUUCAGGCCUGGCUUACCAGCAGGGAUUAGCGAACCAGAUUGGUACACUGGCCAACGUGAUUGAACUUUUGAAGCCAGGUCUGCUCUAAAAACUCAAGUGUCGACGCUCCUUAUCCUGGACAGACGAGGGACUUCUCUGCCAAGAAAGAUUUUAAAACCUUGAGGAUUCAAACUCAAGGAUAAACUCAAACCUCUUCGAUACUCGUCACAACAGGACAAAAAGCACAGUGUCUCCUUCCUUAGUUCCGUGGUGCCCCAAAUGAAAGAGGAAGAAACAUGAGGUCCCGGAAGCAUGUAUUUCUCUGUGAUUACCAUCUGGAGGUAACCUGUUCUGGAAUAAACCUUUAUUCUUCCUCCC